AGCUUUGUGAAGUGGCAGUAUCAUAGCCAGUGAGGUUUAUCCAAGGCACGAUUAUUGCUAACUGAGCAGGCCUGCUUCUUAAGUCCCUCAGUAGUCAGAAAAUCCACUGGUCAUACAAAUGU
ensembl:snRNA U4 U4 spliceosomal RNA